AGAGUUUGAUCAUGGCUCAGAAUGAACGCUGGCGGCGCNNCUAAUACAUGCAAGUCGAGCGAGAAGACGUAGCAAUACGUUUGUAAAGCGGCGAACGGGUGAGGAAUACAUGGGUAACCUACCCUCGAGUGGGGAAUAACUAGCCGAAAGGUUAGCUAAUACCGCGUACGCUCCUUGGACUUCGGUUCAGGGAGGAAAGCGAUACCGUGGGUAUCGCGCUCUUGGAUGGGCUCAUGUCCUAUCAGCUUGUUGGUGAGGUAACGGCUCACCAAGGCUUCGACGGGUAGCUGGUCUGAGAGGACGAUCAGCCACACUGGCACUGCGACACGGGCCAGACUCCUACGGGAGGCAGCAGUAAGGAAUAUUGCGCAAUGGGCGAAAGCCUGACGCAGCGACGCCGCGUGGGGGAUGAAGGUCUUCGGAUUGUAAACCCCUUUCGGGAGGGAAGAUGGAACGAGCAAUCGUUCGGACGGUACCUCCAGAAGCAGCCACGGCUAACUUCGUGCCAGCAGCCGCGGUAAUACGAAGGUGGCAAGCGUUAUUCGGAUUUACUGGGCGUACAGGGAGCGUAGGCGGUUCGGUAAGCCCUCUGUGAAAUCUUCAGGCUUAACCUGGAAAAGUCGGAGGGGACUGCUGGGCUAGAGGACGGGAGAGGAGCGCGGAAUUCCCGGUGUAGCGGUGAAAUGCGUAGAGAUCGGGAGGAAGGCCGGUGGCGAAGCGGCGCUCUGGAACGUUUCUGACGCUGAGGCUCGAAAGCGUGGGGAGCAAACAGGAUUAGAUACCCUAGUAGUCC
rnacentral:rRNA from 1 species